GAUUAUAUUGAAAGAUCGUUAAAUCAGCUUACCCACUCAAAGAGAUAGAUCUUACUUUCCUCAAGAGAAUUGUCGGUGUUCGACCGACCAGCAACAAUCUCUAGUGCUACCACCCCGAAUGCGAAAACAUCAACCUUUUCAGUCAAAUGUCGUCUCAUCGCAUACUCAGGAGCCAGAUAACCACUUGACAAAAGGUUAGAUAAGUUUAAGUUAGCUUUGUUUGUAAGGUACAAAUAUAAGAGAAAUGGUGAAAUGUUCUUACAAUGUGCCCGCAAUUCCUGUACUAACAUGAGUCUUCUUCUCAUCAUAAAGCUUGGCGAGUCCAAAGUCAGAGAUCUUUGGGGUGAGGUCUGUGUCAAGUAGGACAUUGCUAGCUUUGAUGUCCCUAUGAACAAUGCGCACGCUCGACUCCUCAUGAAGAUAAGUUAGGCCUCUUGCAAUUCCUAAAAUGAUCUCGAAGCGUGUUGCCCAGUCCAGUUUUAUGCUACCGUUUCCUGUA
rnacentral:sRNA from 1 species